CAGUUUUAUGAUAUAGCUCCUGGUGGAUGGCCUUCUCAGUCCACCGGUUGCGACAUCUUCAGCAUCAGAUACCAUGUCGUUGGCUGUUGUGCUCAACACCCACAUGUUGGCCCUUCGCUCAGAUCUGAAGUGAUGAAAGCUUUGAAUUUUUCAAGAGGUGAGAUGACACAGCAGGAGAUUAAAGAUCCCAAGUCUUCACUUAACAGCAGGGUAGCGUCGCGGAUCUGGUUGAGGGCAGCUGCUGCAUGCCGGCCACCAGGAAGUGCCGCCAAGUUCCUUGCGCCGGUGGCUGUGAGAUGCAACAGCUCCCUCCUUCCCAUCAUCCUUCUCCGCCGCAGCAG